AUACGGAGGAUGCGAGCGUUAUCCGGAUUUAUUGGGUUUAAAGGGAGCGUAGAUGGGAGCUUAAGCAAGUUGUGAAAAGCGCGGGCCCAACCCGCGUCGUGCAAUUGGAACUGUGUUCCUUGAGUGGGUUCGGGGCAGGUGGAAUUCGUGGUGUAGCGGUGAAAUGCUUAGAUAUCACGAAGAACUCCGUCAGCGUAGGCAUCCUGCCAGGCCCUUGCUGACGUUGAAGCUCGAAGGGGCGGGUGUCAAACAGGAUUAGAUACCCUGGUAGUCCGCACGGUAAACGAUGGAUGCCCGCUGUCGGCGACAGACUGUCGGCGGCCAAGCGAAAGCGUUAAGCAUCCCACCUGGGGAGUACGCCGGCAACGGUGAAACUCAAAUGAAUUUACGGGG
rnacentral:rRNA from 1 species